rnacentral:rRNA from 1 species
AUUGAACGCUGGCGGCAGGCCUAACACAUGCAAGUCGAGCGGAAACGAUCCUAGCUUGCUAGGAGGCGUCGAGCGGCGGACGGGUGAGUAACGCGUGAGAAUCUACCCAUGAGUGGAGGACAACCCGGGGAAACUCGGGCUAAUACCGCAUACGCCCUACGGGGUAAAGCAGGGGACCUUCGGGCCUUGCGCUGAUGGAUGAGCUCGCGUCGGAUUAGCUUGUUGGUGAGGUAAAGGCUCACCAAGGCGACGAUCCGUAGCUGGUCUGAGAGGAUGAUCAGCCACACCGGGACUGAGACACGGCCCGGACUCCUACGGGAGGCAGCAGUGGGGAAUCUUGGACAAUGGGGGCAACCCUGAUCCAGCCAUGCCGCGUGUGUGAAGAAGGCCUUCGGGUUGUAAAGCACUUUCAGCAGGGAGGAAGGCUUACCCCUAAUACGGGUGAGUACUUGACGUUACCUGCAGAAGAAGCACCGGCUAAUUUCGUG